GAAAGCCGGAAAGGUCGCCGCUGCCUCCUCAGGUGCCUCUUUGCAUGUCUCCUGGGGUCACUGCCGCCUCCUCGCCGGGAGGGGAAAAUGAGUGCCACGCGGGGUUUCCUAAUGCAGAGCCACGUGCAUGGUGAGCCGCAGCGCCUGUGCCUCAGGAAGCGCGGGGCUGAGGCCCCCAGGCCACGACGACCCGGACUCCUCUGCGCGUCCCGGAGCCCGAGGAGGCGCGUGACGCCCCGCGUCCCACCGGCCGCAGCGGCCCUGAGGACUUAGAAGUGAUCCAUUAGGGGAUUCAUAAGAAUCACGGUAAACAAACAGCCUGGGUGCAUCUUCACGACCUGCUGGCGGCCACUGGUUUCCGUGGUUUCAGCGCCAUUGUUACGACACAGAGUCUGGAACAAACACGGAUGAGGGUGGAGAGCUGCACCCAGGAGCCCAGGUCUGGGCCUUUCCAGAAGCCGUCAUGGGAACUGAUCAAAGAAAAUGGCAAAAAGUGGAUUGGCAAAGACAAACGCAUCUUUCCUCAAUAAAGUGCAUCUUGUAUUAAAAUUAGAGAUUCCAGCUGGGAAGCCACAGGGGCCAUGGGCCCCUCAGGGAGCCGGGAAUGGAGACGCCCUGAUCCUCUGGGAGCGGACGGGCCCCCACGGGGGUCCCGCGCAUCAGGAAGCUGCGGCAGUGGUCUACAGCAGGUCUGGCCCUCAAGGAGGGGACAGCGGGCGGGGGCCAUGGACACUGGGGUCACGUGGGUGUCCAGAGGUCUCCACGGGCUCAGCGCCAAGUCACAUUUUUAAUGGAAAUAUUUGGAACCUGUCCCUUAACUCCUGCCCCAGGUUCCGAUCUUGUGUGGGUCUGCCCGUUCCGGCUCUGGGCCUGGGCUUCCAAUCCCUCUGCAUCUGAUUCCCAGGACCUGGCACCUGCCUGCCCGCCAGAGCUGCAGACCCUCCCCCAGCCCAGCCCCCACGCCACUCAGCAGGACGGAGAGCUGGAUGCCCUCCGCGGGGCUGGGGGAGGGGCACAGGCAGGGGAGGGAUUGCUUUAGCCGCGGCACCGAGAAAAUUCUAGAGCAGAUACAAGUUAGCAAUGUGACGUGGGGGCACGCAGGUUUGAGUGACAACAAGAGGAAGGCUCCACUUGUGUCCCCCGGCGGCUGCCUGCCCGGGGCCCUGGCCUUCCGCGGCUCGUGCUGGCGUGGACACAGGCGUCACCCGCAGCCUGUCCUGAGCGGCGGCGCCGGGGGCGAGGCUUUACCGCGUUGGGAACGUGGACAGCGGGUGAAGAGGUGGAGCUCACCUCUUCCAGCCUACUUUGUGGUCGACGCGGUCUUCACAAACGCACAGGACGGACACACACAAAACAGCCCUGCCUCCUGAUGGCCCCGGGAAGGCGAGCGUCUCAGUGGAAACAGUGAUGGAGCCGCGUUUGGCCGCGCUCGGCAGCGGGUGUGAGCACCCGGCCUGACUCAGGGGAAGGAAGUAGUGUUUCCACUCAGCUCAAAACAAGUGGUUUCAGGACGGCUUGUGUGUCACUGGCAUUUCCCUGUUGUGUUUAUGAGACGAGGUGGGAAUGGGCCUCGUGGUUACUCUAAUCUCGUCUUUUACAAGAAAUAAUAAGCCCCUAGUGGAACGCUGGCGGGGGGCUGUGCGGCCCGGGAGACGCUGGGGAAACCCGAGGGCGCCCGCGGGGAGGGGCCCCAUUUCAGGGUGGAAACCUGGGCCGCCUUCUCUGGUGGGCCGUGCAAACAGCAGGCGCCCGGGGAUGGCGUGCGGCCAGGGGCGCCUUGGAAGCCGGGUCAGCACGCAGCAGGCGUGCGGGGCGCAGUGACCCCCGUGUCCUGGGGACUCUUGCUGAGGUCGGCCGUUUCCCCGGAAACCAGAUCCACGGUCCAGAGGUCACAGUUCCCACUCUGCGGGGACAGGAUUGCAUUGAUAAGGGUUGAAGCGAGGAGGGUGACUGUCCCAGAGAUGGGUGGACGGUUUCUGCAUCCCUGGGGAAGCCGGGCCACAUUCCCAGAAUGCAGUGCCAGCAGAGGCCCAGA